UACAGAGACUGCAAGCGUUAUUCGGAUUCACUGGGCGUAAAGGGUGCGCAGGCGGCCAUGUGUGUCAGGUGUGAAAGCCCGGGGCUUAACCCCGGAAUUGCGCCUGAAACUACAUGGCUAGAGCAUUGGAGAGGGUAGCGGAAUUCACGGUGUAGCAGUGAAAUGCGCAGAUAUCGUGAGGAACACCGAUGGCGAAGGCAGCCCCCUGGGCUGAGAUUGACGCUCAGGCACGAAAGCGUGGGGAGCAAACAGG
rnacentral:rRNA from 1 species